GCCGACAGGCGUAGUCGAUGGACAACGGGUUGAUAUUCCCGUACCCGUGUGUGCGCGCCCAUGAUGAAUCAUCGGUACUAACCACCCAAAAGGUUCUAGAUCAAUCUCUUCGGAGUGCGACGUGAACCCGCUGCGUGGGACCUUCGGUGGUAGUAGUCAAGCGAUGGGGUGACGCAGGAAGGUAGCUGUACCGGUUAGUGGUUAUACCGGAGCAAGCCCGUAGGACGACAUCUAGGCAAAUCCGGAUGUCAUACGUCUGAGAGGUGACGCAUAGCCGAUUGAGGCGAAUUCAGUGAUCCUAUGCUGCCAAGAAAAGCCUCUAGUGAGUUCACACACGGCCCGUACCCCAAACCAACACAGGUGGUCAGGUAGAGAAUACUAAGGCGUACGAGAUAACUAUGGUUAAGGAACUCGGCAAAAUACCCCCGUAACUUCGGGAGAAGGGGGACCUCGCUUGGUGACCGGACUUGCUCCGUGAGCUGAACGAGGUCGCAGAGACCAGUGAGAAGCGACUGUUUACUAAAAACACAGGUCCGUGCGAAGUCGCAAGACGAUGUAUACGGACUGACGCCUGCCCGGUGCUGGAAGGUUAAGAGGACCCGUUAACCCUUGGGUGAAGCGGAGAAUUUAAGCCCCAGUAAACGGCGGUGGUAACUAUAACCAUCCUAAGGUAGCGAAAUUCCUUGUCGGGUAAGUUCCGACCUGCACGAAUGGCGUAACGACUUCUCAACUGUCUCAACCAUAGACUCGGCGAAAUUGCACUACGAGUAAAGAUGCUCGUUACGCGCGGCAGGACGAAAAGACCCCGGGACCUUCACUAUAGCUUGGUAUUGGCGUUUGGUUCGGUUUGUGUAGGAUAGGUGGGAGACUGUGAAGCAGGCACGCCAGUGUUUGUGGAGUCAUCGUUGAAAUACCACUCUGAUCGUAUUGAACCUCUAACCUCGGGCCGUAUAUCCGGUCCAGGGACAGUGCCUGGUGGGUAGUUUAACUGGGGCGGUUGCCUCCCAAAAUGUAACGGAGGCGCCCAAAGGUUCCCUCAACCUGGACGGCAAUCAGGUGUUGAGUGCAAGUGCACAAGGGAGCUUGACUGCGAGACCUACAAGUCAAGCAGGGACGAAAGUCGGGACUAGUGAUCCGGCACCUCUGAGUGGAAGGGGUGUCGCUCAACGGAUAAAAGGUACCCCGGGGAUAACAGGCUGAUCUUCCCCAAGAGUCCAUAUCGACGGGAUGGUUUGGCACCUCGAUGUCGGCUCGUCGCAUCCUGGGGCUGGAGCAGGUCCCAAGGGUUGGGCUGUUCGCCCAUUAAAGCGGCACGCGAGCUGGGUUUAGAACGUCGUGAGACAGUUCGGUCUCUAUCCGCCGCGCGCGUCAGAAACUUGAGGAAACCUGUCCCUAGUACGAGAGGACCGGGACGGACGAACCUCUGGUGUACCAGUUGUUCCACCAGGAGCACGGCUGGAUAGCUACGUUCGGACAGGAUAACCG
rnacentral:rRNA from 1 species